ACCUACGGGAGGCAGCAGUGGGGAAUAUUGGGCAAUGGGCGCAAGCCUGACCCAGCAACGCCGCGUGAAGGAAGAAGGCUUUCGGGUUGUAAACUUCUUUUCCCAGGGACGAAGAAAGUGACGGUACCUGAGGAAUAAGCCACGGCUAACUACGUGCCAGCAGCCGCGGUAAUACGUAGGUGGCAAGCGUUAUCCGGAUUUACUGGGUGUAAAGGGCGUGUAGGCGGGAGUGCAAGGCAGAUGGGAAAACCACGGGCUCAACAUGUGGCCUGCAUUUG
rnacentral:rRNA from 1 species